rnacentral:sRNA from 1 species
AAAUAGCCCUGAUGGAAGCGACAUCCUUUUUGUUGGUCAUUUCGACUCCGCUCAAUGACCAACAAAAAGAUAUAGCGAACAACAGGACAAAUG